AGUGGCUUCUGGAAUUCCGCUCCCAGCCUACCCAACAGUUUGUGCUUUAGGAUCAAGAUGCCCUCACUCUGGGACCUGGCUGAGCCCUGUGAGGAAGGUAACUCAAGCCAUCAGGAGCUGCCUUUCUGGAUUUGCACUUCAUAGUUCUGAUUGACAUGGUACCUACCUACACAUGGAAGAAAGAGUCAAGGAUCAAGAAAACUAGUGAUGUGUAUCUCUAUUCUAUCCAUGUUUAUGAUAAAGGUUAAUGAAUGGUAGAAAUAUAUUGCCUUUCUAUAGAGCCUCACUUACAUGCUUGGGCUAAUAGUUUUUUUUUGUUUUGUUUUAAUAGUAUUUAU